rnacentral:lncRNA from 1 species
CUCUGUCAUUUCUGACUUGAAGUUCAGUGGUGCAAAGUUAGGCUCCAUGGUGGCCAUCUCUCUCUUGUGCAGGAAAGCCACUAAAAGAUGAAGAAGAGAGGAACUCGCAAUGGAAGGAGAAGGUAACCGCAACUUUGCAAGGUCCGUAUCUCGUCCUAUCUGAGAAUUUUAAAUAACCUCAGACUUGAACGAGACCACUAAAAGUCACACCCC